rnacentral:rRNA from 1 species
GAUGAACGCUGGCGGCGUGCCUAACACAUGCAAGUCGAGCGAUUUACUUCGGUAAAGAGCGGCGGACGGGUGAGUAACGCGUGGGUAACCUGCCCUGUACACACGGAUAACAUACCGAAAGGUAUGCUAAUACGAGAUAAUAUACUUUUAUCGAAUGGUAGAAGUAUCAAAGCUCUGGCGGUAUAGGAUGGACCCGCGUCUGAUUAGCUAGUUGGUGAGGUAACGGCUUACCAAGGCAACGAUCAGUAGCCGACCUGAGAGGGUGAUCGGCCACAUUGGAACUGAGACUCGGUCCAAACUCCUACGGGAGGCAGCAGUGGGGAAUAUUGCACAAUGGGCGAAAGCCUGAUGCAGGAACGCCGCGUGAGCGAUGAAGGCCUUCGGGUCGUAAAGCUCUGUCCUCAAGGAAGAUAAUGACGGUACUUGAGGAGGAAGCCCCGGCUAACUACGUGCCAGCCGCCGCAGUAACAC